rnacentral:rRNA from 1 species
GACGAACGCUGGCGGCGUGCCUAACACAUGCAAGUCGAGCGAAGUUUUUCUGGUGCUUGCACUAGAAAAACUUAGCGGCGAACGGGUGAGUAACAAGUAAAGAACCUGCCACAUAGACUGGGACAAAUAUUGGAAACGAUAGCUAAUAAUGGAUAACAGUACUUCUCGCAUGAGAGAGAUUUAAAAGUUGGUUAUGCUAACAACACGAGAUGGCUUUGCGGUGCAUUAGCUAGUUGGUGGGGUAAAGGCCCACCAAGGCGACGAUGCAUAGCCGACCUGAGAGGGUGAUCGGCCGCCCUGGAGCUGAGCCGCGGCCCUUACUCCUGCGGGAGGCAGCAGUCGGGUAUCUUCCGCAAUGGUCGGAAACCUUACGGAACGGCGCCACGUGAGUGGAGGAGGAUUUCGGUUCGUGAUGCUCUGUUUUUAGGUAUGAAUGGAUUUGUAGUAACAAUACAUGUGAGUGACGGUACCUGGCCAGGAAGCCACGGCUAACUACGUG